UACGAAGGGGGCUAGCGUUGCUCGGAAUCACUGGGCGUAAAGGGUGCGUAGGCGGGUCUUUAAGUCAGGGGUGAAAUCCUGGAGCUCAACUCCAGAACUGCCUUUGAUACUGAAGAUCUUGAGUGCGGGAGAGGUGAGUGGAACUGCGAGUGUAGAGGUGAAAUUCGUAGAUAUUCGCAAGAACACCAGUGGCGAAGGCGGCUCACUGGCCCGAUACUGACGCUGAGGUGCGAAAGCGUGGGGAGCAAACAGG
rnacentral:rRNA from 1 species